GCCUCGAUGGUUUAGUGGUAGAGUUCGACCCCUGUAUGAUUGAAGCGCGAGUUCAACUCCCGCCUGAGGCG